UGGAAUCAAGGCGAGGAUGAAGGCGAUGAUCUAGAGUCGAUGAGUAUGGUGUUAUGUUUUAUUUAAUUGUUUUGGAAUCAUGGAAUUAGAAGCAUGUUAGGAUUGCUAGAUUUUCUUGAAUGAUUAUUGGUUCUUGGUUAUUGGAUAAUUUGUUGGAUAUUGGUUUAUUUAGUUGAAUUAUUGGAUUAAAAUAUUUGAUUUCCG
rnacentral:lncRNA from 1 species